UUAAGCGACUAAGCGUACACGGUGGAUGCCCUGGCAGUCAGAGGCGAUGAAGGACGUGCUAAUCUGCGAUAAGCGUCGGUAAGGUGAUAUGAACCGUUAUAACCGGCGAUUUCCGAAUGGGGAAACCCAGUGUGUUUCGACACACUAUCAUUAACUGAAUCCAUAGGUUAAUGAGGCGAACCGGGGGAACUGAAACAUCUAAGUACCCCGAGGAAAAGAAAUCAACCGAGAUUCCCCCAGUAGCGGCGAGCGAACGGGGAGGAGCCCAGAGCCUGAAUCAGUGUGUGUGUUAGUGGAAGCGUCUGGAAAGGCGCGCGAUACAGGGUGACAGCCCCGUACACAAAAAUGCACAUGCUGUGAGCUCGAUGAGUAGGGCGGGACACGUGGUAUCCUGUCUGAAUAUGGGGGGACCAUCCUCCAAGGCUAAAUACUCCUGACUGACCGAUAGUGAACCAGUACCGUGAGGGAAAGGCGAAAAGAACCCCGGCGAGGGGAGUGAAAAAGAACCUGAAACCGUGUACGUACAAGCAGUGGGAGCACAGAGCAAUCUGUGUGACUGCGUACCUUUUGUAUAAUGGGUCAGCGACUUAUAUUCUGUAGCAAGGUUAACCGAAUAGGGGAGCCGAAGGGAAACCGAGUCUUAACCGGGCGUUAAGUUGCAGGGUAUAGACCCGAAACCCGGUGAUCUAGCCAUGGGCAGGUUGAAGGUUGGGUAACACUAACUGGAGGACCGAACCGACUAAUGUUGAAAAAUUAGCGGAUGACUUGUGGCUGGGGGUGAAAGGCCAAUCAAACCGGGAGAUAGCUGGUUCUCCCCGAAAGCUAUUUAGGUAGCGCCUCGUGAAUUCAUCUCCGGGGGUAGAGCACUGUUUCGGCAAGGGGGUCAUCCCGACUUACCAACCCGAUGCAAACUGCGAAUACCGGAGAAUGUUAUCACGGGAGACACACGGCGGGUGCUAACGUCCGUCGUGAAGAGGGAAACAACCCAGACCGCCAGCUAAGGUCCCAAAGUCAUGGUUAAGUGGGAAACGAUGUGGGAAGGCCCAGACAGCCAGGAUGUUGGCUUAGAAGCAGCCAUCAUUUAAAGAAAGCGUAAUAGCUCACUGGUCGAGUCGGCCUGCGCGGAAGAUGUAACGGGGCUAAACCAUGCACCGAAGCUGCGGCAGCGACACUGUGUGUUGUUGGGUAGGGGAGCGUUCUGUAAGCCUGUGAAGGUGUGCUGUGAGGCAUGCUGGAGGUAUCAGAAGUGCGAAUGCUGACAUAAGUAACGAUAAAGCGGGUGAAAAGCCCGCUCGCCGGAAGACCAAGGGUUCCUGUCCAACGUUAAUCGGGGCAGGGUGAGUCGACCCCUAAGGCGAGGCCGAAAGGCGUAGUCGAUGGGAAACAGGUUAAUAUUCCUGUACUUGGUGUUACUGCGAAGGGGGGGACGGAGAAGGCUAUGUUGGCCGGGCGACGGUUGUCCCGGUUUAAGCGUGUAGGCUGGUUUUCCAGGCAAAUCCGGAAAAUCAAGGCUGAGGCGUGAUGACGAGGCACUACGGUGCUGAAGCAACAAAUGCCCUGCUUCCAGGAAAAGCCUCUAAGCAUCAGGUAACAUCAAAUCGUACCCCAAACCGACACAGGUGGUCAGGUAGAGAAUACCAAGGCGCUUGAGAGAACUCGGGUGAAGGAACUAGGCAAAAUGGUGCCGUAACUUCGGGAGAAGGCACGCUGAUAUGUAGGUGAAGUCCCUCGCGGAUGGAGCUGAAAUCAGUCGAAGAUACCAGCUGGCUGCAACUGUUUAUUAAAAACACAGCACUGUGCAAACACGAAAGUGGACGUAUACGGUGUGACGCCUGCCCGGUGCCGGAAGGUUAAUUGAUGGGGUCAGCGCAAGCGAAGCUCUUGAUCGAAGCCCCGGUAAACGGCGGCCGUAACUAUAACGGUCCUAAGGUAGCGAAAUUCCUUGUCGGGUAAGUUCCGACCUGCACGAAUGGCGUAAUGAUGGCCAGGCUGUCUCCACCCGAGACUCAGUGAAAUUGAACUCGCUGUGAAGAUGCAGUGUACCCGCGGCAAGACGGAAAGACCCCGUGAACCUUUACUAUAGCUUGACACUGAACAUUGAGCCUUGAUGUGUAGGAUAGGUGGGAGGCUUUGAAGUGUGGACGCCAGUCUGCAUGGAGCCGACCUUGAAAUACCACCCUUUAAUGUUUGAUGUUCUAACGUGGACCCGUGAUCCGGGUUGCGGACAGUGUCUGGUGGGUAGUUUGACUGGGGCGGUCUCCUCCUAAAGAGUAACGGAGGAGCACGAAGGUUGGCUAAUCCUGGUCGGACAUCAGGAGGUUAGUGCAAUGGCAUAAGCCAGCUUGACUGCGAGCGUGACGGCGCGAGCAGGUGCGAAAGCAGGUCAUAGUGAUCCGGUGGUUCUGAAUGGAAGGGCCAUCGCUCAACGGAUAAAAGGUACUCCGGGGAUAACAGGCUGAUACCGCCCAAGAGUUCAUAUCGACGGCGGUGUUUGGCACCUCGAUGUCGGCUCAUCACAUCCUGGGGCUGAAGUAGGUCCCAAGGGUAUGGCUGUUCGCCAUUUAAAGUGGUACGCGAGCUGGGUUUAGAACGUCGUGAGACAGUUCGGUCCCUAUCUGCCGUGGGCGCUGGAGAACUGAGGGGGGCUGCUCCUAGUACGAGAGGACCGGAGUGGACGCAUCACUGGUGUUCGGGUUGUCAUGCCAAUGGCACUGCCCGGUAGCUAAAUGCGGAAGAGAUAAGUGCUGAAAGCAUCUAAGCACGAAACUUGCCCCGAGAUGAGUUCUCCCUGACCCUUUAAGGGUCCUGAAGGAACGUUGAAGACGACGACGUUGAUAGGCCGGGUGUGUAAGCGCAGCGAUGCGUUGAGCUAACCGGUACUAAUGAACCGUGAGGCUUAACCU
rnacentral:rRNA from 1 species